ACAUGGUUAGUAGAUUGUGGUAAAACGUUUAAUACGUUCAUCUAUGACUUCUAAAGCCACCUGACUUAUAAAUGUAAGGUCAGGUCAGGUCUACUCGGCCCAGUACAAGAGUCGAUGUCACCCGGUCUCAUGCUCACAACCUGCUUGCAUCCUGCGGCGUCACAGAGUCGGUAUCAGCACAAGUCAAUAACAUUGAUAUGAAAAUGCCACCAAAAAAAAGUUUUUUCUUUCUUGCCAUGUGUUUAUUGGAAAUCAAAGGCCAAUUGCCAAAUGUAAUGAGAAAUCAUCCCAGACUUCGUGCAUUUGUUGGAGUGCCUCAUAAUUUUUCUCCGCAUCGUAAAAAU